GUGCUUGCUUUAGCAGCACAUACACUAAAAUUGGAACAAUGCAGAGAAGAUUAGCAUGACCCUUGCACAAGGAUGAUACAGAAUUUCUACUUCAUCCUGCUGUACUCU